AGUCAUAUGCUUGUCUCAAAGAUUAAGCCAUGCAUGUCUAAGUCCAAGCUGUGUUCACACGGCGAGACCGCGGACGGCUCAUUAAAUCAGUCGUGGUCCAAAUGGGCCAGUGCAAAUCCUACUUGGAUAACUGUGGUAAUUCCAGAGCUAAUACAUGCAACUGAUAUCCCGAAGGCGGUGUUGGGGCUUGCUUGCCUUGCGCUGCGCUGCUCUGACGGAUGCUUUUAUUAGACCAAGCCGCUGAGGACUUGAGGGUUCGCGCUCUCUUGUUUGACUCGUGUGAUGGUGACUCUGGAUAACCAAAUUCUGACAAGCGCACGUACUUCUCUUCUGAGCGAGACGGCGCUGCCACUUUCGAGUGUCUGCCUUAUCAGCUAUCAACCGUUCGUUAUGCGCGACCGAUGGCUUUGACGGGUAACGGGGAAUCAGGGUUCGAUUCCGGAGAGGCAGCCUGAGAGACGGCUACCACGUCCAAGGACGGCAGCAGGCACGCAAAUUACCCAAUCCCAGCAAAUGGGGGAGGUAGUGACGAAAUCUAACGAUGCGGGCGCCCUUUCUGGGGCCCCGCAAUCGGAAUGGGCACUUUCUAAACAACCUG
rnacentral:rRNA from 1 species